GGGCGUAAAGGGAGCGCAGGCGGUUGAAAUAGUCUGAUGUGAAAGCCCACGGCUUAACCGUGGAAGGUCAUUGGAAACUGUUCAACUUGAAUACAGAAGAGGUAAGUGGAAUUCCAAGUGUAGCGGUGAAAUGCGUAGAUAUUUGGAGGAACACCAGUGGCGAAGGCGACUUACUGGUCUGUAAUUGACGCUGAGGCUCGAAAGCGUGGGUAGCAAACAGGAUUAGAUACCCUGGUAGUCCACGCCGUAAACGAUGAGUGCUAAGUGUUAGGGGGUUUCCGCCCCUUAGUGCCGGAGUUAACGCAUUAAGCACUCCGCCUGGGGAGUACGGCCGCAAGGCUGAAACUCAAAGGAAUUGACGGGGACCCGCACAAGCGGUGGAGCAUGUGGUUUAAUUCGACGCAACGCGAAGAACCUUACCAACUCUUGACAUCUUCUGAUCACCCUAGAGAUAGGGCUUUCCCUUCGGGGACAGAAUGACAGGUGGUGCAUGGUUGUCGUCAGCUCGUGUCGUGAGAUGUUGGGUUAAGUCCCAUAACGAGCGCAACCCUUAUUGUUAGUUGCCAGCAUUCAGUUGGGCACUCUAGCGAGACUGCCGGUGAUAAACCGGAGGAAGGUGGGGAUGACGUCAAAUCAUCAUGCCCCUUAUGAGUUGGGCUACACACGUGCUACAAUGGACGGUACAACGAGUAGCGAUCCCGCAAGGGUUAGCGAAUCUUAAUAAGCCGUUCUCAGUUCGGAUUGUUCUCUGCAACUCGAGAGCAUGAAGCCGGAAUCGCUAGUAAUCGCGGAUCAGA
rnacentral:rRNA from 1 species